rnacentral:rRNA from 1 species
AACGAACGCUGGCGGCAUGCCUAACACAUGCAAGUCGAACGGGAUCCAGGCUUCGGCCUGGUGAGAGUGGCGGACGGGUGAGUAACGCGUGGGAACCUGCCCAAUGGUCUGGGAUAACCGCGGGAAACUGCAGCUAAUACCGGAUAAGCCCGAGAGGGGAAAGAUUUAUCGCCGAUGGAGGGGCCCGCGUCAGAUUAGGU